rnacentral:rRNA from 1 species
ACGUGCCAGCAGCCGCGGUAAUACGUAGGUGGCAAGCGUUGUCCGGAAUUAUUGGGCGUAAAGCGCGCGCAGGCGGAUCAGUCAGUCUGUCUUAAAAGUUCGGGGCUUAACCCCGUGAUGGGAUGGAAACUGCUGAUCUAGAGUAUCGGAGAAGAAAGUGGAAUUCCUAGUGUAGUGGUGAAAUGCGUAGAUAUUAGGAAGAACACCAGUGGCGAAGGCGACUUUCUGGACGAAAACUGACGCUGAGGCGCGAAAGCCAGGGGAGCGAACGGGAUUAGAUACCCCGGUAGUCCUGGCCGUAAACGAUGGGUACUAGGUGUAGGAGGUAUCGACCCCUUCUGUGCCGGAGUUAACGCAAUAAGUACCCCGCCUGGGGAGUACGMCCGCAAGGUUGAAACUCAAAGGAAUUGACGGGGGCCCGCACAAGCGGUGGAGUAUGUGGUUUAAUUCGACGCAACGCGAAGAACCUUACCAGGUCUUGACAU